CAUGCAAGUCGAACGGUAACAGAAAAAGCUUGCUUUUUGCUGACGAGUGGCGAACGGGUGCGUAACGCGUAUGCAACCUACCUUCUUCUAAGGAAUAGCCCAGAGAAAUUUGGAUUAAUACCUUAUGAUAAUAUUUAUUCGCAUGUUUAAAUAUUUAAAACUCCGGUGGAAGAAGAUGGGCAUGCGUAACAUUAGUUUGUUGGUGAGGUAAUGGCUCACCAAGACUACGAUGUUUAGGGGGUCUGAGAGGAUGAUCCCCCACACUGGUACUGAGACACGGACCAGACUCCUACGGGAGGCAGCAGUGAGGAAUAUUGGUCAAUGGACGAAAGUCUGAACCAGCCAUGCCGCGUGAAGGAUGACGGCCCUACGGGUUGUAAACUUCUUUUGUAUGGGAAGAAACCCCUCUACGUGUAGAGGGUUGACGGUACUAUUCGAAUAAGCACCGGCUAACUCCGUGCCAGCAGCCGCGGUAAUACGGAGGGUGCGAGCGUUAUCCGGAAUUAUUGGGUUUAAAGGGUGCGUAGGCGGAAAUUUAAGUCAGUGGUGAAAGCCUGCAGCUAACUGUAGAAUUGCCAUUGAUACUGGAUUUCUUGAAUCUAAUAGAAGUAGGCGGAAUAUGACAUGUAGCGGUGAAAUGCUUAGAUAUGUCAUAGAACACCGAUAGCGAAGGCAGCUUACUAUGUUAGUAUGACG
rnacentral:rRNA from 1 species